CCUACGGGAGGCAGCAGUGGGGGAUAUUGCACAAUGGGGGAAACCCUGAUGCAGCGACGCCGCGUGGGUGAAGAAGCGCCUCGGCGCGUAAAGCCCUGUCAGCAGGGAAGAAAAUGACGGUACCUGAAGAAGAAGCCCCGGCUAACUACGUGCCAGCAGCCGCGGUAAUACGUAGGGGGCAAGCGAUAUCCGGAUUUACUGGGUGUAAAGGGGGCGCAGACGGCGAUGCAAGCCAGGAGUGAAAGCCCGGGGCCAAACCCCGGGACUGCUCUUGGAACUGCGUGGCUAGAGUGCAGGAGGGGCAGGCGGAAUUCCUGGUGUAGCGGUGAAAUGCGUAGAUAUCAGGAGGAACACCGGUGGCGAAGGCGGCCUGCUGGACUGCAACUGACGUGGAGGCCCGAAAGCGUGGGGAGCAAACAGGAUUAGAUACCCCAGUA
rnacentral:rRNA from 1 species